CCCUUCUUUCUUUCACAACCAAAAAUUAGUUGUUAGGUCACCUCUUCUCCUCUCUUUUGUCCAUAUUUAGACAUGGAUUUCUCUUCUUCUCUUUGUCCAAAAGUUGAACAAAAUUCUUACAUCUCUAGUGUAGAGAUUUAGUGCAUUGAUUUUAGGAAGAAAAGAGAAGAAAGAAUUCUUCUCAUGAUCUCUAGCAUAGAGAUCAAUAUCCUCCUAUAUUCUUCUUCUUCUCUAAGAGUGUCUUGAGAGAAAAAAAUUUUUUACCAUCAAGAAGCGAUCUUUGCAAGGGAUCUAGCAUCCCAGUGAGAUCAAAAGACUUCUGAUCAGAUCAGAGUCUCAUAUGGAUACCUGUAGAGGUCAGACGCUUAUGCGGCUAUAAAGGAUCUUCGGA
rnacentral:lncRNA from 1 species